UUGAAUGUCUUUCCUUGUUUUGGUGGAGCUUGUAAAGUGAAACCAGGCAGGGGAAUGGCAAACAAUAAUUAUUUUUGAAAAAGACCUUUUUUUAAAAUUAAACUUUUUGUAUUCAUUUGUCUAAAAUUAAUUUUUAUAAUAUAAAAACAACUUUUGACAAUGGAUCUCUUGGUUCUCGCAACGAUGAAGAACGCAGCAAAAUGCGAUAAGUAGUGUGAAUUGCAGAAUACGUGAAUCAUCGAAUCUUCGAACGCAUAUUGCACUUUUUUGGUUUACUAAAAAAGUAUGUCUGUUUGAGUAUCAGUAAAAUAUUCUCAUAAAAAACAUUGUUUUUUUUUAUGGUUAUGAGUGUUUUUACAACGAUAACAAGUUGUUUCACUUUAAAUUCUUUGUUAUCAAAAAAAUCAUUAAAAGCUAAUUUUAAAGAUUUUUUAAAAUUGGAUAAAAUUUUCCCGUAAAAAGGAAUAACCUAAACAAUUUUUAAAAAAUUAAAACUGGUUUGAUUUUUUUGAAACCCAAAGGAAAAAAAAACGAAAUUAACUUGAUCUCAAAUCAGAUAAGAGUACCCGCUGAACUUAAGCAUAUCAAUAAGCGGAGGAAAAGAAACUAACUAGGAUUCCCUCAGUAACGGCGAGUGAAGCGGGAAGAGCUCAAAUUUGAAAUCUUCAAGGUUUUACCUUGACGAAUUGUAGUUUAAAGAAGCGUUUUCUGUUGGAGUUUUGGUAAAAGUUCUUUGGAAAAGGACAUCAUAGAGGGUGAGAAUCCCGUAUUUGACCAUUAUCUCCAGCUUUGUGAUACACUUUCAAAGAGUCGGAUUGUUUGGGAAUGCAGUCCAAAAUGGGUGGUAAAUUUCAUCUAAAGCUAAAUACUGGCGAGAGACCGAUAGCGAACAAGUACCGUGAGGGAAAGAUGAAAAGAACUUUGAAAAGAGAGUUAAACAGUACGUGAAAUUGUCAAAAGGGAAGCGUUUGACACCAGUGUUGUUUUCUCGAAAAUCAAUUAAAAAAGGCCGGAUUUUGUGUUGUAUUGACUUUAUCAGCUCUCUGCACUCUUUUCUCGUCUUUUUUAAUGCACUUUUCGUUUAACAAGUCAACAUCAAUUUCUUUUGUUGUAAAAGGGUCAUUGGAAGGUGGCUUUCUUUUCGGAGAAAGUGUUUAUAGCCUUUGGCCUCUGCAAUCGGAGAGAUUGAGGUCUGCAGCGUAGAUCCUUCGGGGUUAGAUACAUUUGUGCUAAGU
rnacentral:misc_RNA from 1 species